CAGUCGCCACGGUAAUACGUAGGUGGCAAGCGUUGUCCGGAAUUAUUGGGCGUAAAGCGCGCGCAGGCGGAUAGGUCAGUCUGUCUUAAAAGUUCGGGGCUUAACCCCGUGAUGAGAUGGAAACUGCCAAUCUAGAGUAUCGGAGAGGAAAGUGGAAUUCCUAGUGUAGCGGUGAAAUGCGUAGAUAUUAGGAAGAACACCAGUGGCGAAGGCGACUUUCUGGACGAAAACUGACGCUGAGGCGCGAAAGCCAGGGGAGCGAACGGGAUUAGAGACCCCAGUAGUCCUGUCUCUUAUACAC
rnacentral:rRNA from 1 species